rnacentral:rRNA from 1 species
CCCUUGGAAGUUCUGGGCUGCACGCGCUCUGCACUGAUAUUUUCAGCGAGUCCACCACCUUGCCUGGGAAUGUGGGGUGACCUCUGGAAAGCGCAUCGUGAUGUGGAUCGAUUAUUGAGAUUAUUAGUUUUCAAAGAGGAAUUGCUAGUAAGUAUGUGUCAUCAGCCCGUGCUGAUUACGUCCCUGCCCUUUCUACACGCCGCCUGUCGCUCCUACAUUUUGAUUGGUCCGGUGAAUUAUGCGGACUGCAAGCGUUCAGCUUCUGGAUGCAGUUGCGGAAAGUUUUGUAAACCUUAUCACAUAGAGGAAGGAGAAGUCGUANCA